UACGGAAGGCAGCAGUGGGGAAUAUUGGACAAUGGGCGGAAGCCUGAUCCAGCCAUGCCGCGUGUGUGAAGAAGGCCUUUUGGUUGUAAAGCACUUUAAGCGAGGAGGAGGCUACUAGUACUAAUACUACUGGAUAGUGGACGUUACUCGCAGAAUAAGCACCGGCUAACUCUGUGCCAGCAGCCGCGGUAAUACAGAGGGUGCGAGCGUUAAUCGGAUUUACUGGGCGUAAAAGCGUGCGUAGGCGGCUGAUUAAGUCGGAUGUGAAAUCCCUGAGCUUAACUUAGGAAUUGCAUUCGAUACUGGUCAGCUAGAGUAUGGGAGAGGAUGGUAGAAUUCCAGGUGUAGCGGUGAAAUGCGUAGAGAUCUGGAGGAAAUACCGAUGGCGAAGGCAGCCAUCUGGGCCUAAUACUGACGCUGAGGUACGAAAGCAUGGGGAAGCAAACAAGGAAUUAAGGAAUAAC
rnacentral:rRNA from 1 species